GCUCCAGUCACAGGGUUCUGAUUGAGUUCCUGUGUCCCCAGCAUGUGUCAGCAGCCAGGGUUGCACACUUGCCUCGGGAGCAAGAAGCCACUCGUCCUAAGCAGAAAGGUGUUGCUGCCGAGUGUGCAAUGGGUGAAGAUGUGGAGAAUGAGCUCUGCUGCAGCACUGGGAGUGUGAAGGAGCGCCUGGAGUCCCAGAACAGAUCAGAAGCUGUGAAUGUAAAGAAGAAAACCCUACAGUUUCUGUGCCAGUGGACCAGAUCCCAUCCCAAGGUGGCCCUGUCCCUGGCUGUGCUUGUGAUCCUGGCCCUGACUUUGGUGGUGACCUGGGCUUUGCAGUCAGAUCCUUGGAAGGGAUUCUCAGCCCCUCUGCAGACGGAGAUGAGCAAAUCUCCCUGAACACUCCACCAGCAAUGGAGCCUCACUGUCACAAUAUUGUCACAGUAAAGCUGGCGUGGACUGGACAAGGUAAGCCUGACCAUAAGACAAAUCCAAUUUGGCUAGCCUAGUUCAUGCCAGAACGAGUCCCUGGAUAAGUUACAGGGGACCCUCCGCCAUCCCAUUCAAGCUUAGUAGAAAGCACAUCGCUGGCCAGAGAUCUGGGUGGAGAGAGAUCCCAGCCAAUGAGCUAUCUGAGCCCGAGAGUUUUGAAUCGGGUUCAUAAGUAAGUUCCAAACAAUAAACAAGGCUGUUUGUCUGAUAAACA
rnacentral:lncRNA from 1 species